CCUGGCGGCACUAGCGCGGUGGUCCCACCUGACCCCAUGCCGAACUCAGAAGUGAAACGCCGUAGCGCCGAUGGUAGUGUGGGGUCUGAGCUGCGCGCAGAACACGCCUGGCGCUAUGA
rnacentral:rRNA from 1 species